rnacentral:lncRNA from 1 species
UUUGUUUUUACCUUUUUAUUUAUUUUUCUUUUUACUGUUUUAAUUUUAGUCCCAUCUUAUAUAUUUUUUAUAAAAACAUAAAAGUUGUGGCAAAAUCAGUAUUACUAAUUAUACCUCUGAUACUAAAGUUUAAACCCCUAGAUAAAAUAUUUUAACAUUUUAUUAUUAACAAAAGGCAUUUAUUAAAUUGGUUAUGUUGUUGUUUCAUUCCCAUUUGAGCAUUUAAACAUUUUAUAAAAGUGUGGUUUCUACACCAUAAUUACCUAUGCAUUAUUUGGCUCACUCCGAACAUUUUUGUUUUAAUAUUUGAAAUCUUUUAUUGUUUGCUUGAUUUUGAAUUUGAAUUCGAAUUGGUUUCGAACUAACGCAAGACUAGCAACAGUAAUCAAGGUGACGUGGCAUCAUUAGCAGAGGGCUACUGUAGCUUAAUUAUCCAGGCGUCACAAUUCUCCUCCACUACAAGAAAUCCCGUCCCGAGAUUUAAGAGGGAGCAAGGGGGAAGGGAUUUGGUUAUGAAAUUCUAACGGGUCUUCUCGGUGUUGGGUGCUCUUCUCGAAGAGGUCAAUCCAAUACGUUGAUGCCUUCAUUCCUCUGCUCCAGGUCAUCAUGAUGAAGUCGUCCUCCUUUCUUCGAGAACUCCAUCAUACGUACGAAGGACAAGGGGUGGGCAUUCCGGGAGAACUGACCUCUGCGAGGUCAACUAUCUGGUCGAUACAUCGAGGAAGGUGGCGGAAGUAACUCUCGAAUCGGAACUUAAGAAAAUAUCGAGAGCAAAGUAAGGAGGUAUUAUGGGAAGUUUCGAGCAGGCAGGCAAUUGUUCGAUGCCUGAUACGAAAUGUGAAAGGGGUUUAGAGCAAUGGGAAUAAGUAUUGCGUCUGAUACCAGAAUAGAUCACUUGGCAGGUGGCCCGUGAAUUACAUACAAAGUCAAGCGCGAGGAAUAACUUUGACAACAGGGUGUACAGGAGAGUCAGGUUCGAUCCUGUGGAACUGUGGGUUAUGGGCCCACCAUGUGGGUUAAAAGUAGGAAGGGCGGAGACGUCUUGCGUGAUCAUGUAAGCAAGGCAUGUCAGCGGAAAGCCUGUCAGUUAUGUCGGCAACAACAUUGAUACCAAGGGCGAGGGACGAAGAGAACCAUUUUCCUGUUCGUUUAAACGAGGCAGACCAAUAGGCAAAGUUCUUGUCCAUCGGUGGUUACCGGAAGUCAUCAACAAUAAUAUCAGGGUCUUACUAACAGAGUGGUACAACAAGGUGCUUACCUAAGCAGGGAAUUAUUACUGCUCAGUUAAGUCAGAUUACAAGAAAGGUUAAUCAAAACAAUGGAAAGGAAAAUGUGUUUAAACACAUAUUUCAGGGGUAUAUCCUUCCCAAGGACAAGCAGAGCAUGAUAACCAAGACAUGAUAUAAAGUAGGAAACCCUUUAAGGUGAGGGAAGAGAAAUUUCAUGACAUUACCCAUUCAACGGUGUUUGGAUAAUUGAGCAAGAAACAAUUAGCAUUGGGAUAAGUGUUCUUGUUGAAAAUCGGAGUACCACAGACAUGCUUCGAGAUAGCAUUGACAUGGUCGUCCAGCAAAGGUCAGACUUUGGAUACAUGAAGGAUUCAUUAGGAACAACUUGUAGAAUAAGUCUUACCAUUUCUCAUGGAAGAAUAGAUAACCUUGCUAAAAUGGAACUAUAACAAUAGGUCCUCCGGCCAGGUGUGCUAGGCAUGAUAUCACCUUACCGGGUCAUAUAAAGACCAAUGUUGUGACUCUUGGAAAGUGUUCCAACCAUCAUAUCUGACCGAGAUUCAGAUCUGAUCGGUGUUAGGAUACCUCAGACCCAGGAUCCUGAGAUAAAAAGGUGCGACGCGAAUUGACGAGAAGACGCCAUAAGAUUCUUAGGAAAUGAACUAUGGAAGUGUUUUCUGAAACAAGAGUUCAUCAGUAAACCAAGGAGAAGAUGAGGAGGUGGCUGAUAGGCUCAGCGACAAAUCAUCGAGAUUUACAAAAGAUGGAUUUCCACAAUGAUGUGAACAAGGAGGUAACACUUGUCAGAUCAAACGAUAUAAUGAUGUAUGCUCGAGGAAAACAUACACAAUUAAACAUUGGUUGAAAGGUGCACCCGAAAUAUGGGCUGGGUUGCACGAUCAAUGUUAGAAUGGUGACUUAAUGAACAAGAGAAUUAGAAUGAAACUCGACCAUUCACUUCAAAGCAAUAGGGUUUCUAGAAGUUUUGAAUUCACACAUCAUAGUUCAAUUGUCAGUAUUCCAGUUAGAAACAACACGGGUACCAAGAAAGAAUGGUGAGGGUGAGAAGUAUCACUAUACCAGGAAUUCUUAAGAGGUGGUGAAAUUCCCACGACAUUCUUGACAUAAAAGGUGGUAAUAUUCCAAGGUAAAGAAGAACAAAUGCUGGGUAGCAAGGAACUCAGGGUAUAACACAAAACACGAACAAGUUUGUGUUGGAGGGAAGACAAUAAAGUGGCCGAUGAUAACACAACUCAUCGAGGGCAAGGAUGUAUUUCUCAUCGUGAAUGCGAUUGAUAUCCUGGAAGAGCUCAGAAUGUUGAUGGUGAUCUUGACAAAUUUUGUCGAGAGGCUCCACGAAGAAGCCAUUGAACAACGGCUACAUCAAGCAACAAGACUAAUGCAGAGAAAGAUUAUUGGAACCACGGAUACGACACCAACUCGGAAUCAAGCUUGUUGUUCGAGGUGAAACGAUAAGACAAGGAAGAAUCGACGUAAGCUUAGCUCAUCGCCGAAAGUGGUGCUCCGGAAAUAAGGACUAGGUAGCACAGUUAAAAUCAGCACGAUACUGAUAUAGCCGACCAGGCUAGAAAUGACGUGAUUGAGUACAAACUCGUAAGUAAAGAAGAUUACUAAUAGUUGUUUAAUCACGAUGCGGACUCGAUUCAGUUACCGAUGUCCUUAAGUGUUAAAUGACCCAGAGCCUGUGAAAAAAAAUUGAAUCAGUGAGAAUGUAGUACUUGAUGGAGAACUCAUAAGAAGUUAUGCAGUUCUGUGAUAAUCUCAAGAUACCAGGGUGUAAUACUCGACGGAAGAUCAAAGUGAAGGUUGGACUGGUGUAAUGAUCCACAGAAGACAAGUGCUUAAACUUGCACGAGAAAUGGUAUUUAAGGGAGAACAUGGUCGGAACCACGAUUACAAAAGGCCAGAUCCCAGAUAUAAGAUGAACUUAUACCAAAGGAAUAAUUAAUUUAGGAGGAGCUUUUAAUGAUAAGAUCUACAUCGUGUCCAUCGGCAUGAACACAAAGUUCAAGGUCGACUCCCACUUCUCCAAUGCAUAACCUUUCACUCACUUCUCAUUUUCGAAGAAGUUGUACUAUUGAAAUUUUAUUUGUCAUAACACCAGUAGAGUAUGACCCGUAGUAGUUUCCUGGUCCACACAAAUUCGAAAAGGCAUAGGUUCAACCCAUCUGGGCCUCUUAGGAACAUAUACCACAAACUUCAGGAGUAAACAACACAAGCUCGAGAGCAGAGCAUGUUCGACAAAGUAGAGGAUAAAAUUUACCAAAGGCAUUAUGUAUCCGAGAAAAGACUCAUAAAGUGAUUAAUUAUGAAGGACACUGUCGCAUAAUGAUCCAACAGUGGAUAUGGCGAUCCACAAUGGAGCUGAUGUGAGUAUCGAUACCCAAUCAGAGGAAGAAAGAAUGCAAAUGCAUCGGUUUAUAGAACAUCUGAAUAAUUCAACGUUUAAAUAACAAAGGAAUUAUCAUUUUCAAAUCAAGGGAUUAGGAGCAAACGCUCUGAUCAAGGAUGGAUAAGUUGAAUAGACUUAGGGGUACAAUCAAUGGCAAUCUGAUUGGCCGAGAACCAGCUCAUGUUCGAAAGACGUCUGAGACGGAAAGAUAAUUUAUAAGGAUCAACUGAUGAUUGCGUCAUUCGCACACAUAUAGAAUCAACGGACUCAAAAUGAUAGUGUCAAAGGAAGCCAAUAAGAUUACUAGACUUAUGGGAUUAACCAUAAUGAAAGCAAGCAAGGAUUUCAAGAGCAAUAGGCUGCCGAAGAUUUUUGGAAGAUCGAAUGGUAUUUUCAAGACUAUUGUGAAAUACAAGAAUCAACUUGGAAUGAGUGAAUCCUCGAUAAGUGCGAGAAAUUAUUCGUAGGGGUAUUCAGGUGGCAAGGAACUGCAAGGCAGUAGGCACAAAGUAUCCUUGGGGUAUCUUGUAAUAACAAGAUCGACUGGAAAUAAAAGUAAGAACGACAGACGACAGGUGUAAGUAUUUAUCCAUAGUGAUGUUUGGGUGGUAGGGAAUUGCAAAAGCAACGGGCACAAUGUCUUGAGAGAAUAUCGGAGAGUAUCUUCGAAAUCUCCUGGUGUAGCAGGCGAUCAUUUGUAAUAAGGGGCUCUCCGGAAGAAAGUAAUUACGAGAACCUAGAGUUAGUUUUUUUUGCAAAAUCAUUUAACCCGAAUAGAAGAGAGAUCAGAGUCCCAGAGUAUAGACGAGGAGUAAAAUAUCCUAAUACCACCCAAUGGCAACGUGGGCCCGUAAGGCACACAACCAUGUUAGUAAAAGUUUUUCAAUGACUAGACUCGACUUCGGCGAAGGAGUGUGGAAGGGGGAUUCCUACAGGCAGUUGGCUCUGAUACCAACUUGUGACGCCCCCGAUUCAAUCGUACACUAAUCAUGCACGCAAACGUGUACGAUCAAGAUCAGGGACUCACGGGAAGAUAUCACAACACAACUCUAAAACAUAAAUAAGUCAUACAAGCAUCAUAAUACAAGCCAGGGGCCUCGAGGGCUCGAAUACAAGUGCUCGAUCAUAGACGAGUCAGCGGAAGCAACAAUAUCUGAGUACAGACAUAAGUUAAACAAAUUUGCCUUAAGAAGGCUAGCACAAACUGGGAUACAGAUCGAAAGAGGCGCAGGCCUCCUGCCUGGGAUCCUCCUAACUACUCCUGGUCGUCGUCAGCGGCCUGCACGUAGUAGUAGGCACCUCCGGGGUAGUAGGAGUCGUCGUCGACGGUGGCGUCUGGCUCCUGGGCUCCAGCAUCUGGUUGCGACAACCAGGUAGAAAGGAAAGGGGGAAAAGAGGGAGAAAAGCAACCGUGAGUACUCAUCCAAAGUACUCGCAAGCAAGGAGGUACACUACAUAUGCAUGGGUAUAUGUGUAAAGGGCCAUAUCGGUGGACUGAACUGCAGAAUGCCAGAAUAAGAGGGGGAUAGCUAAUCAUGUCGAAGACUACGCUUCUGGCCACCUCCAUCUUGCAGCAUGUAGAAGAGAGUAGAUUGAAGUCCUCCAAGUAGCAUCGCAUAACAUAAUCCUACCCGGCGAUCCCCUCCUCGUCGCCCUGUUAGAGAGCGAUCACCGGGUUAUAUCUGGCACUUGGAAGGGUGUGUUUUAUUAAGUAUCCGGUUCUAGUUGUCAUAAGGUCAAGGUACAACUCCGGGUCGUCCUUUUACCGAGGGACACGACUAUUCGAAUAGAUAAACUUCCCUGCAGGGGUGCACCACAUAACCCAACACGCUCGAUCCCAUUUGGCCGGACACACUUUCCUGGGUCAUGCCCGGCCUCGGAAGAUCAACACGUCGCAGCCCCACCUAGGCACAACAGAGAGGUCAGCACGCCGGUCUAAAUCCUAUGGCGCAGGGGUCUGGGCCCAUCACCCAUUGCACACCUGCACGUUGCGAACGCGGCCGGAAGCAGACCUAGCCUAGCAGGCGUUCCAGUCCAAUCCGGCGCGCGCCGCUCAGUCGCUGACGUCACGAAGGCUUCGGCUGAUACCACGACAUUGAGUGCCCAUAACUAUUCCCGCAUAGUUGGUUAGUGCGUAUAGACCAAAUGGCCAGACUCAGAUCAAAUACCAAGAUCUCGUUAAGCGUGUUAAGUAUCCGCGAACGCCGACCAGGACCAGGCCCACCUCUCUCCUAGGUGGUCUCAACCUGCCCUGUUGCUCCGCCACAAAGUAACAGUCCGGGCACUGUAGCGGCGAGCAGAAGGUCAGGCAGGCGUGCUGUGACCGGGACGGUCGACAGGGAUGGGGAGAGAGAGGGAGGUGCUCAUGGCGGGGCCGUAUGGUACUGGCAGUGGGCUCGGGGAGGUCCGGCGAGGCGGCACCGACGAGGGAGAGGACGGCGGCGUUCGAAGCGGGGUCGAGGGCGCGGCGCAGGAACAACGGCCUCAGCACGGGGCGAGGAGGAGGACGGGGACGAGUCGGUGACGGUGGUGGGGUCGACGACGGGGACGAGGUCGAGGCGGAGCGGCUCCGGCAGGCGGCGACGUCAUGCGCCCCCGAUCCCGAUCUGGAUCGGGGAGGGAGAGCGAGGAGUGGGGGAGAGUGGGGACGUGGGCUAGGGUUCUAGGGGGUGUGGAGGGCCAUAUAGGCCAGGACGGCUGGGCCGGCCAGCUAGGGCAUUCGGCCCGGUGGAGGGGGCUUUUGUUUUCAACAGCUUUCCUAUUAUUUUGUUUUUACCUUUUUAUUUAUUUUUCUUUUUACUGUUUUCAUUUUAGUCCCAUCUUAUAUAUUUUUUUAUAAAAACAUAAAAGUUGUGGCAAAAUCAGUAUUACUAAUUAUACCUCUGAUACUAAAGUUUAAACCCCUAGAUAAAAUAUUUUAACAUUUUAUAAUUAACAAAAGGCAUGUAUUAAAUUGGUUAUGUUGUUGUUUCAUUCCCAUUUGAGCAUUUAAACAUUUUAUAAAAGUGUGGUUUAUACACCAUAAUUACCUAUGCAUUAUUUGGCUCACUCCGAACAUUUUUGUCUUAAUAUUUGAAAUCUUUUAUUGUUUGCUUGAUUUUGAAUUUGAAUUCGAAUCGGUUUCGAACUAACGCAAGACUAGCAACAGUAAUCAAGGUGACGUGGCAUCAUUAGCAGAGGGCUACUGUAGCUUAAUUAUCCGGGCGUCACAGUGUCGACG